UACGUAGGGGGCAAGCGUUGUCCGGAAUCAUUGGGCGUAAAGAGCGUGUAGGCGGCCCGGUAAGUCCGCUGUGAAAGUCCAGGGCUCAACCCUGGGAUGCCGGUGGAUACUGUCGGGCUCGAGUCCGGAAGAGGAGUGUGGAAUUCCUGGUGUAGCGGUGAAAUGCGCAGAUAUCAGGAGGAACACCUAUUGCGAAGGCAGCUCGCUGGGACGCAACUGACGCUGAGACGCGAAAGCGUGGGGAGCAAACAGG
rnacentral:rRNA from 1 species